rnacentral:rRNA from 1 species
GACGAACGCUGGCGGCGUGCUUAACACAUGCAAGUCGAACGGAAAGGCCCUGCUUUUGUGGGGUGCUCGAGUGGCGAACGGGUGAGUAACACGUGAGUAACCUGCCCUUGACUUUGGGAUAACUUCAGGAAACUGGGGCUAAUACCGGAUAGGAGCUCCUGCUGCAUGGUGGGGGUUGGAAAGUUUCGGCGGUUGGGGAUGGACUCGCGGCUUAUCAGCUUGUUGGUGGGGUAGUGGCUUACCAAGGAUUUGACGGGUAGCCGGCCUGGGAGGGUGACCGGCCACAUUGGGACUGGGAUACGGCCCGGACUCCUACGGGAGGCAGCAGUGGGGAAUAUUGCACAAUGGGCGGAAGCCUGAUGCAGCAACGCCGCGUGCGGGAUGACGGCCUUCGGGUUGUAAACCGCUUUCGCCUGUGACGAAGCGUGAGUGACGGUAAUGGGUAAAGAAGCACCGGCUAACUACGU